rnacentral:rRNA from 1 species
CAAGGAGUCUAACAUGCGCGCGAGUCGUUGGGUCGGACACGCUCCGCUAAACCCAUAGGCGCAAUGAAAGUGAAGGUUUCCCUUCGCGGGACCGAGGGAGGACGGAGGCUCUNNNNNNNNUCGCNNNNNNNGGAGGCUCCCGCACUCCCGGGGCGUCUGAUUCCUCUGCUUGAGGGAAGGCGCACCCAGAGCGCACACGUUGGGACCCGAAAGAUGGUGAACUAUGCCUGGCCAGGACGAAGUCAGGGGAAACCCUGAUGGAGGUCCGUAGCGAUUCUGACGUGCAAAUCGAUCGUCGGAGCUGGGUAUAGGGGCGAAAGACUAAUCGAAC